AAUGGAAUUGACCCAAGCCUUGCUCUGUAUAGCCUGAGUCCCAGAUCUUUGUGCUGUCUUGCUACCUCCUGUGUCGUUCAGUUGGGAAGACAGCACAAACACACCUGGGACUCCUCCCAUUCUGCAUGCUUUAAAAGGCAAGGGAAGAGUAACACCGCCCACUCUGCAUGCUUUAAAAGGCAAGGGAAGAGUAACACUGCCCACUCUGCAUGCUUUAAAAGGCAAGGGAAGAGUAACACGGGUGACCCCCAUCUCUGCAUGCUUUUAAAAGGCAAGGGAAGAGUAACACCCGGGACUCCGCCCACU
rnacentral:lncRNA from 1 species